AUGAACGCUGGCGGCGUGCCUAAUACAUGCAAGUCGAGCGAACAGAUGAGGAGCUUGCUCCUCUGACGUUAGCGGCGGACGGGUGAGUAACACGUGGAUAACCUACCUAUAAGACUGGGAUAACUUCGGGAAACCGGAGCUAAUACCGGAUAAUAUAUUGAACCGCAUGGUUCGAUAGUGAAAGACGGUUUUGCUGUCACUUAUAGAUGGAUCCGCGCCGCAUUAGCUAGUUGGUAAGGUAACGGCUUACCAAGGCAACGAUGCGUAGCCGACCUGAGAGGGUGAUCGGCCACACUGGAACUGAGACACGGUCCAGACUCCUACGGGAGGCAGCAGUAGGGAAUCUUCCGCAAUGGGCGAAAGCCUGACGGAGCAACGCCGCGUGAGUGAUGAAGGUCUUCGGAUCGUAAAACUCUGUUAUUAGGGAAGAACAAAUGUGUAAGUAACUAUGCACGUCUUGACGGUACCUAAUCAGAAAGCCACGGCUAACUACGUG
rnacentral:rRNA from 1 species